rnacentral:lncRNA from 1 species
GAUGGUAUCGCAGUUUAUUUUACACCUAAGAAUCCAAAACAUAAAAAGAUUGUGGAGUCCACUCCGGUAAACAUCCAUUUCUAUUUUGAUUAUCCUUUGUGUUCUAACCUAAAUGCGUGGAAGGUUGACAAUCUUGUAUCAGAAUUUCUGCCAAUUCUACACACCAUAAGCACAGGUGCAAAAGAUGAGAGCAGUUGGUUCCAAAUUAAGCAUACAACAAAUAGAAAGUAUAAGCUAGUGUUUUGUCUCUUUGACACUUAUUGCCAAGACAUUGGCAUCGUCUCACAAAGUGGUUAUCAUCGUUUGGUUCUCUCGGACAACCCAAAGCCUUUUUGCUCAAACUGGAUGAUAGAAUUGGAAUGGCAGCAGAAGUAUGAUCUUGUCAUGUUAUGCCUAGAUCUACUCUACGUAAUGUAUAAUAAUAAUGCAUGUAGGUACUUUAUCCUGUUGCAUGGAUGUAAAACUUGAUAAUAAUGUAAUGGGGGUCUGUCUAUGUGCCCCUUAUAUAUGAUCACAUGAUAUAUAUUAUGUAUUGAUAUGGAUAUCAUAAAAGACUCUGGUUCAUUCCUUGAGAAAUUUCUUUAAUCCUCUAUGAUUUCAAAGAAUUAAUUAAGACACAUAAGAAUAAGUACCGAGCUUGGAUCAAUCAAUAUUGUAGAUGCUCAAUGACUUACUGGGACAAUACAUGCAAUAACUUGUUCGACAACUAACUAUGAAAAUCAUGUAGUCAUAUAUACCAUCACUUUUUUCAAGAUACUAUUAUUACUAUAUAAAAAGUCACUGCGAUUAAACAUUAGUACUAAAUAACUAUUCUCAAUUGUCAAUUUGGAAUAAAACAUCACUUGCUUCUUGCCAUUUUGGCCAGUCAUUUUUUUGUCGACAUUCUGUGACAGAUUUAUGUUCAAGAUUCCAACUAUUUUGCAAGAUUUUCGUUGCAACAUUAUAUGCAAAGACAUAAUCCACUACUAUUUCGGAUCUAUUCAAAUUAGUUUCAACAUCACUUGAAUUUAUGGAUAGUUUCAACAUCAUCUUGACCAUUUGUUUUUCUUUUUCUAGGAUUUCGAUCCUUAGAACCUAAUGGUACAUCAGGCUUCAAGCGCACUUUAGAUUCAUUAGCUAUGACACUAGUGGAUGGUCCUUUAGGGACAUCAAUUCAAAUUGGGAAAUAUUCUGUAGGAAUAUAUGAUUUAGUGAUCCUUUUCAAAUCUGUAAAUGCGUCUGGCAUUUGAUUUGCAAUUUUCUGCAGAUGAAUAAUCUUUUGUACUUCUUGUCCACAAAUAGAAGCACGUGAAUCAAGUUGAGAUAGUGAUGGAUUUUUUCACAAAAUUUCUCUUUUGAUGUCAUUAUCUUCUCCCCCUAAUUUUGGAAAAACUAUUUCAUCAAAUCAAUAAUCUGCAAAUCGAGUUGUGAACAUAUCUCUCAUUAAUGGUUCAAGAUAGUGAAUAAUGGAGAGUGAUUCAAACCCAACAUAAGUUUCUAACCUUCUUUGGAGGCCCAUUUUGGAGUGAUUUAGUUAUUCUAUAGGCACAUAUACACCGCAUCCAAAAAUUCUCAGAUGAGAUAUAUUAGGCUCUUGACCAAAAUCAAUUGCAACGGAGAAAAUUUAUGAUAAUUUGUCGGUCUAAGACGAACAAGUGUUGCAGCAUGCAAAAUUUCAUGACCCUAAACAAAGUCGGCAACUUAGUUUUCAUAAGCAAUGGUCUAGCUAUCAAAUGCAGACGUUUAAUUAAUGACUCGGCAAGGCCAUUUUGAGUGUGAACAUGGGGUACAGGAUGUUCAACUCUUAUUCCAAUCGAUAAACAAUAGUAAUUAAAUGCUUGGAAUGAAAAAUCUGUGGCAUUAUCAAGGCGAAUAGACUUAAUUUGAUUAUCAGGAAACUGUGCCCAUAAUCGUAUUAUUUGUACCAACAGUUUUGCAAAUGCCAAGUUGCGAGAUGACAAUAGGCGCACAUGAGACCAUCUAGAAGAAGCAUCUAUUAGGACCAUAAAGUAUCUAAACGACCCACUAGGUAGGUGAAUGGGUCCAUAAAUAUCCCCAUGUAUGCGUUCUAAGAAUGCGGGGGACUCAAUCCCAACUUUUGUUGGCGAUGGACUCACAAUCAUCUUGCCUUGAUAAUAACCAUUACACGAAAAUUCAACAUUCGAAAUAACCUUCAAGUUUUUUAAUGGAUGCCCAUUUGAAUUUUCUAUGAUUCGUCUCAUCAUUAUAGAUCCAGUAUGUCCCAGACGAUCAUGCCAAAGUAUGAAAGUAUUGGAAUUAGUAAACUUCUUGUUUACUAUAGAAUGUGCCUCAAUUGCACAAAUCUUUGGCCAAUAUAGGCCAGAAGAUAAUGUAGGGAACUUUUCUUUAACACAUGUUUGCCAAGAGACAUUCUUGGUGAUACAAAGAUAUUCAAGAUUCAUCUCAUCAAUUGUCUUGAUAUGAUAACCAUGUUCAUGGAUAUCUUUAAAAUCUAUCAAGUUUCUCCGAGACUUAGGAGAAAACAUAAUAUUAUUUAUGAUGAGUUUAGCUUCCUUGGGCAAGAUUAUAAUGGCUUUUCCGAAGACUUCAAUUAAAUUAGCACUACCAGAAAUUGUAGUAAUAUUAAUCUUGACCAUGUUUCGAUGAGACAAAUAUUUUUCGUCUUUGAAUAACGUAUGUGUAGUGCUAGAAUCAAUCAAACAAAUAUCUUCACAAUUGGACAGCUUACUUUGAAAAUUAUCCAUAUCUUCAAGUAAAAUAAUAUACACCAAACUAAAUAUAUAUUAAAUCUUUAUAUAAAGAAAAAGAUUAUACUAUAAGGAAUUAUUAAUCACACUUUACUAAACAAUUAAAAAGAAUAUAUCCAAUUAGUGUGCGAUUAGUACAGCUUAGCAUUUUAUUUUUCAAUAGAAAGAAGAAGAAAAAUGCAUUGUAUUUUUCAAUAAUUAAAAAAAAAAAAUAAAAACACGUAUCCAUGGAGCCAACAAUCAAUUCACUAAUAAACAAUAAUAACCUGCAUGGGCCACCAAUAAUAGCGCCUACCAUUUGCUUUAAUUAAUGUAUCGUCCAAUCAAUGAGACGGCUUAGUAUAAAGAGCACUAGACGAUGAACAUUAUUUCUCCUAAUUCUUCUUCUUGAUCCACUAUUUUUUUUUUUUUUUUUUCUUUUGCAGCACCUACCAUUUGCUUUAAAUAAUGUAUCAUUUUUUCCUUUUUUUUUUGUCAAUAAAUAAUGAAAAAAUUGAAAUUCAAUUUAAUGCAAUAAUAAACCACAAUAAUAGAAUUAAACUAAUUAAUAAACCAUUAGGUUCAUCAUUUAGUAUAAAGAAAUAAAUUAAACGUGGAUGGUUCACAUAAACUAGAUCAUAACAAUUCAUCUUGUCUAUAAAUAGAAGAGGUUAGCAAGAAGGAUACACAAAUCAUCAAAACAAAUUAAUAUCCCUAAAGAUGAAGACCAUAUUACUCUUUCUUUUCCUUGAAAUAAUAUUCCUUCCCUUGUCAGCCUUGGCAACUCCCAACAACCAAGUAUUGAUAGAUGUACUCGAUACUAAUGGUAAUCCCCUCAACAAAAGCAAUAGGUACUGGAUAACUCCAGCCUACACCACUAUGGACGGUGGAGGCAUACGUGUUGCUAAUCUUGAUAGUGAUCUACAACAAAUCACUAUGUGUCCUACAUCAGUAGUACAAUCCCACCUUCCUACAGACGAUGGUAUCGCAGUUUAUUUUACACCUAAGAAUCCAAAACAUCAAAAUAUUGUGGAGUCCACUCCGGUAAACAUCCAUUUCUAUUUUGAUUAUCCUUUGUGUUCUAACCUAAAUGCAUGGAAGGUUGACAAUCUUGUAUCAGAAUUUCUGCCAAUUCUACACACCAUAAGCACAGGUGCAAAGGAUGAGAGCAGUUGGUUCCAAAUUAAGCCUACAACAAAUAGAAAGUAUAAGCUAGUGUUCUGUCUCUUUGACACUUAUUGCCAAGACAUUGGCGUCGUCUCACAAAGUGGUUAUCAUCGUUUGGUUCUCUCGGACAACCCAAAGCCCUUUGUGUUCAAACUGGAUGAUAGAAUUGGAAUGGCAGCAGAAGUAUGAUCUUGUCAUGUUAUGCCUAGAUCUACUCUAUGUAAUGUAUAAUAAUAAUGCAUGCAGGAACUUUGUCCCAUUGCAUGGAUGUAAAACUUGAUAAUAAUGUAAUGGGGGUCUGACUAUGUGCCCCUUAUAUAUGAUCACAUGAUAUAUAUUAUGUAUUGAUAAGGAUAUCAUAAAAGACUCUGGUUCCUUCCUUGAGAAGUCUCUUUAGUCCUCUAUGAUUUCAAAGAAUUAAUUAAGGCACAUAAGAAUAAGUACAGAGCCUGGAUCAAUAAACAUCGUAAAUGCUCAAUGACCAACUGGGAAAAUACAUGCAAUGACCUGUUCGACAACUAACUAUGAAAAUCAUGUAGUCAUAUAUACGAUCACUUUUUUCAAGAUACUAUUAUUACUAUAUUAAAAGUCGCUGCGAUUAAACAUUAGUACUAAAUAACUAUUCUCAGUUGUCAAUUUGGAAUAAAACAUCACUUGCUUCUUACCAUUUUGGCCAGUCAUUUUUUUGUCGACAUUCUGUGACAGAUUGAUGUACAUGAUCCCCACUAUCUUGCAAGAUUUUCGUUGCAACAUUAUAUGCGAAGACAUAAUCCACUACUAUUUCAGAUCUAUUCAAAUUAGUUUCAACAUCACUUGAAUUUAUGGAUAGUUUCUCAUUUUCUUGAGUCUCAGGCUCAUUAAUUCCUUCAAGAAUAUCAACAUUGCUCAAAUCUUGAACUUUCAUAUGAGGAUCUUUCAUAGUGUCAUCUUGACCAUUUGUUUUUCUUUUUCUAGGAUUUCGAUCCUUAGAACCUAAUGGUACACCAGGCUUCAAGCGCGCUUUAGAUUCAUUAGCUAUGACACUAAUGGAUGGUCCUUUAGGGACAUCAAUUCAAAUUGAGAAAUAUUCUGCAGGAAUAUGUGAUUUAGUGAUCCUUUUCAAAUCUGUAAAUGCGUUUGACAUUUGAUUUGCAAUUUUCUGCAGAUGAAUAAUCUUUUGUACUUCUUGUCCACAAAUAGAAGCAUGUGAUUAAGUUUAGAUAGUGAUGGAUUUUUUCACAAAAUUUCUCUUUUGAUGUCAUUAUUUUCUCCCCCCAAUUUUUGGAAAACUAUUUCAUCAAACCGAUAAUCUGCAAAUCGAGCCGUGAACAUAUCUACCAUUAAUGGUUAAAGAUAGUAAAUAAUGGAGGGUGAUUCAAACCCAACAUAAGUUUCUAACCUUCUUUGAAGGCCCAUUUUGGUGCGAUUUAGUUAUUCUAUAGGCACAUAUACACCGUAUCCAAAAAUUCUCUGAUGAGAUAUAUUAGGCUCUUGAUCAAAAAACAAUUGCAACGGAGAAAAUUUAUGAUAAUUUGUCGGUCUAAGACGAACAAGUGUUGCAGCAUGCAAAAUUGCACGACCCUAAACAAAGUGGACAACUUGGUUUUCAUAAGCAAUUGUCUUGCUAUCAACUGCAGACGUUUAAUUAAUGACUCGACAAGGCCAUUUUAAGUGUGAACAUGGGGUACAGAAUGUUCGACUCUUAUUCCAAUCGAUAAACAAUAGUCAUUAAAUGCUUGGAAUGAAAAUUAUGUGGCAUUAUCAAGGCGUAUAGACUUAAUUUGAUUAUGAGGAAACUGUGCCCGUAAUCGUAUUAUUUGUGCCAACAAUUUUGCAAAUGCCAAGUUGCGAGAUGACAAUAGGUGCACAUGAGAACAUUUAGAAGAAGCAUCUAUUAGGACCAUAAAGUAUCUAAACGACCCACUAGGUGGGUGAAUGGGUCCAUAAAUAUCCCCAUGUAUGCGUUCCAAGAAUGCGGGGGACUCAAUCCCAACUUUUGUUGGCGAUGGACUCACAAUUAUCUUGCCUUGAUAAUAAGCAUUACACGAAAAUUCAACAUUCGAAAUAACCUUCAAGUUUUUUAAUGGAUGCCCAUUUGAAUUUUCUAUGAUUCGCUUCAUCAUUAUAGAUCUAGUAUGUCCCAGAUGAUCAUGUCAAAGUACGAAAGUAUUGGAAUUAGUAAACUUCUUGUUUACUAUAGACUGUGUCUCAAUUGCACAAAUCUUUAGCCAAUAUAGGUCAGAAGAUAAAGCAGGAAACUUUUCUAUAACACAUGUUUGCCAAGAGACAUUCUUGGUGAUACAAAGAUAUUCAAGAUUCAUCUCAUCAAUUGUCUUGAUAUGAUAACCAUUUUCAUGGAUAUCUUUAAAAUUCAUUAAGUUUCUCCGAGACUUAGGAGAAAACAUAACAUUAUUUAUGAUGAGUUUAGCUCCCUUGGGCAAAAUUAUAAUGGAUUUUUCGAAGACUUCAAUCAAAUUAGCACUACCAAAAAUUGUAGUAAUAAUAAUCUUGACCAUGUUUAGAUGAGAGAAAUAUUUUUUGUCUCUGAAUAACGUAUGUGUAGUGCCAGAAUCAAUCAAACAAAUAUCUUCACAAUUGGACAGGUUAUUUUGAAAAUUAUCCGUAUCUUCAAGUACAAUAACAUACACCAAGUUAAAUAUAUAUUAAAUCUUUGUACAAAGAGAAAGAUUAUACUAUAAGGAAUUGUUAAUCACACUUUACUAAGCAAUUAAAGAGAAUAUGUUCAAUUAGUGUGUGCUUAGCUUAGCUUAACAUUUUAUUUUUCAAUAGAAAGAAGAAAAAAAUGCAUUGUAUUUUUCAAUAAUUAAAAAAAAAAAAAAGAAUAAAAACACGUAUCUAUGGAACCAACAAUCAAUUCACUAAUAAACAAUAAUAACUUGCAUGGGCCACCAAUCAAGUCUCUUUUUUUUUCUGUUUUCUUUUUCUUUUGUAGCGCCUAUCAUUUGCUUUACUUAAUGUAUCGUCCAAAUUUUUUUUUUUUUUUUUUUUCAGCACCUACCAUUUGCUUUAAAUAAUGUAUCAUUUGUUCCUUUCUUUUUUGUCAAUAAAUAAUGAAAAAAUUGAAAUUCAAUUUAAUGCAAUAAUAAACCACAAUAAUAAAAUUAAACUAAUUAAUAUUAAUCAAAAUCUAAUACUCAUGCAAACAACUACUUUUACAUGAUUUUUAUUCACUAACUCUUAUUAAUAGUAAAAAAAAUAAAUUAAAAAUUAUUCAUUCUUCCAUGUUUACGAAACUGUCACCAAUCAAGUGAUCAAUUUCUUUCUACAUCCAACCAUGUGAUGUCAACAUUAUUUUCAGUGAGAAAGUUAGCUCGAAAUUUCUUUCUUUUUCUUUAGUGAUGCUAGAUAAAGAUCAACCAAGUGCUUGAGAGCACGACAAUCACGUGAAUAAUGUCCUUUUUCACCACAUCAAAAAUAAGUAAUUGUUUCACGUUUCUCAUCUUUUUUUUUGUUCAACCAAUGAUUAACACCCGGAAUAGAAUUUCUUUCUUGGUCAUCACGACCACGACCACGACCAUAACCACGACCACGUCUAGGGUCGCGACCUUUUCCACGCCUAGCAUGGUAAGCAUGCAUAUCAUUCACCUCAGGGAAUGGUGCAGAUACAGUAAGUGGAUUCUUGUAAUUUUUCGUCAAAAAAUUAUUAUUUUAUUCAGCCACGAGAAGAUGAGAACUCAGUUCAGUAUAUUUCUUGAAACCUUUUUCUCGAUAUUGCUUCUGUGAUAGUAUAUUCGAGGUAUGAAAGUGGAGAGCGUCUUUUCCAUCAUAUCGUCAUCAUUGACCGUCCCUCCACAUAGUUUCAAUUAAGAAAAAAUUCUGAACAUGGCAGAAUUGUACUCAUGAACAGACUUAUAGUCUUGAAACCUUAGAUGCAUUCAUUCAUAUUGUGAUUUUGGGAGGAUGACCAUCUUUAAGUGGUCAAGCCUUUCUUUUAGGAUAUUCCACAAUACGAGUGGAUCCUUAGUAGUAAGGUAUUCCAUUUUUAGAAUUUCGUCAAGAUGAUGAUGGAAUAAAAUCAUAGCAUUAGCACGAUUUUGACUAGAUGCUGUAAUUUCUUUCUUUAUGGUGUCUCCAACACCCAUAACAUCUAGGUGGAUAUCAACAUCCAGCACCCAUGAAAUAUAGUUCUUGCCCGAACAUUGAAGUGUAACGAACUCACACUUAGUAAGAUUAUUAGACAUACGAAAAAGGGAAGAAAAAUAAUACCUUAGCCUUUAACUUUGAGAUGGUGGAGUCUUGUGCUGAUAACAUUUUAUGAAAUAACAAAGAAUAAAGAACAAGAGUAUAGAGAGAAGAGAGAGUAAUUGUUAAUUCUCUUGAGGAUGAUUUAAAAUGAAGGAAUUCCUUCUAUUUAUAGGGAAAAUUUGCUCCUAUUUUCACACUAAAAAGAUAAAUACAUCAAGUCCUGAUAGACAUCAACUAAUUCUUGAUAGAUCUUGACAGACAUUCACUAUAACUGAUAUACAUCAAUAUCAUAACAGGAGCAAAAUAAUUGUCUAUUCUUGAUAUGUUAAAAGUGACAAAUAAAAGUGAAAAUCUUAUCUUUUAAAUAAUGAACAAGUAACAUGAUAGAUGGAGUAAAUGACUUCUCCACAUCUACUUUAUAUAUUAUAAUAAAAACAUAUGAUUUUUUUACGAAUAUAUUAUUGGGUUCAUAGUAUAUGAAAGAAGUGUGAAUGAAAAACUGGAGAAUAAAAUGGUGGAGGGGAAGGAGACACUAAAAUGGAAAGUGUACUCCCAAAUUAGAAAGUUUACUCUUUCUCCCACAUUGGUGGAAGAAGAGAACUUGAAAGUUUUUUAUAAUCAAGAACACUUACUCCACAUGACAAGUGAGACAAGAAAUAAUAGAUGCCUCUCGCCAUUGUCGUCGUCGCUCGCUCGGCUCGACUUCGACUUCGGCUUCGGCUUCGGAUUUGGAUUUGGAUUUGGAUAAUGAUCGAUCGAUGAGAUCUAUCUUUUUGGACAAACUUCUGCAGUGUUUCAACAGUUGCACUGUUUCAAGUGAACUGAUGCAUUAUUUUCAAACUGGUGCUUCAAAAAUGAUAUUGUUCUGAACUGAUAAACUGAGGCUAUAGAAGGUUGGAACGGGUUCAAAAUGAUGCUUCAGUAGGAUGUAAUACUUCAAUGAAGUGACACACUGAUUCAUGAAAUGAGAUGACUGUUCAGGAAAAGAUGCAAUCUUUGAUGAACAGACAUGAACUUACAGCAAAGGUGUAACCUUUGGAGUGAACCAUUGCCUCUUUUCAGAAGAGGCAUGUUAUGGCUAUAUAAACCUGCUUUCAUCCACAGGUUUUGAUAUGAAAUUUCAGAAUAAAAAAUACUCUUCUUGUCUUCAAAAAUUCUGUGUAAUCAUUCAAACUGUUGAGUGUGUUCGACGAGUCUAAAUAUUUGAGGUACCGCUAUAUUUGGAUUGAAGGCCAUUUUAUCCUGGGAUGAAAAAUUCCAUAACCUCGGGUACAGUGAGGGGAAUUGUUUCCUUAAGGAAACUCCGUGAAUUCAGACGACUUGGCCUUAUUCAUUUCUGUUUCAUCUUGAUUUCUGAAAAUAAAAUACACUUCUAAGAAAGAUCACUUUGAUCCUUUGUUGAGGGUAUUUUUUGUACUUUAUUGAGUUCUUAUUUUAAACUUGAACUAGUUGAAGUUGUUUUUCUACAUACACAGAUUCUGCGUACCCGUAGAAAGAAAUAACAAUCUUAAGGAAACAAAUUUCAGAAUCUGUAUAGCUUGUUUUUGGAAAUUACAGUUUUAACUUUCUACUCUGCCUGAACUUAACUAGUAAUUUGAAGUCAUAAAAACUUCAUCACAAGUUAAAGAUCAUUCGGUUGACAAUUGGAAGUCAUAAAAACUUCAUUGUCAACUAGAAACAAGAAGAAAAGUUUAAAGUUGCUUAACUUUAUAAGUAGUAAUCUGAAAAUACUAAGUAUUUUUUAUCUUGUGGUGACAGGAAAAAUGACAAGCGAUAGUCAAAUGCAAGAUGCGGCAACGUCUGUGGGGACAACUAAUAUUGCCACUUCAAGUCGCACAAAUGCUCCGCCUACAAUGGAAUCGACGGAGAAGCCCGAAAAAUUUACGGGCAUUGACUUUAAACGAUGGUAGCAAAAGAUGUUUUACCUCACCACUCUGUGUAUGCAACGGUUCACUAGAGAAGACGCUCCUGACGUGCCCGAGGGAACCUCGGACAAAGGGCAUUUCAUAAUUGUAGAAGCUUGGAAACAUUCAGAUUUCCUUUGCAGGAAUUAUAUUCUGAGUGGUCUCCAAGAUGACCUCUACAAUGUUUACAGUGGAACUAAGACAUCGAAGAAAUUAUGGGGGGAACUUGAACGAAAAUAUAAAACAAAGGAUGUGGGAAUUAAGAAAUUCCUUGUUGCACGAUUCCUGGACUUUAAAAUGAUAGAUACGAAAUCGGUUGUCUCUCAAGUGCAGGAGUUGCAAGUCAUCAUAUAUGAUCUCCUAGCAGAAGGUAUAUGUGUGAAAAAUACCUUAGUUGAACAAAUUUAAAAAGUUCUUAAUACUCACAAAAAUUGUUUUUAGGUUUGAUUGUGAAUGAUGCAUUUCAAGUAGCAGCGAUAGUUGAGAAGCCACUACCUUUGUGGAAAGACUUCAAAAAUUACUUGAAGCAUAAACGCAAGGAGAUGACUGUUGAAGAUCUUAUUGUCUGACUAUUGAAGAUGAUAAUAAAGCUACUGAGAGAAGGUCAAAAGGGAAUUCUACAAUUAAUGGAGCCCAUAUUGUAGAAGAUGACCAAAACAAUUCUAAGAAAAGAAAAAAAGCUGAACGAGGAAGCAAUCAACCCAAGAAGAAAUUCAAGAAAAAAUGCUUCAAUUGUGACAAGAUUAGCCACAAGUCCACGGAUAACCCGAAGAAAGGCAAGAAAACGGAUCAAGCAAAUAUGAUUGAAUCCAACAAAGAAUGCGGUGAUUUAUGUUCUAUGUUCUCAGAAUACAACUUGGGGGGAAAUCCUCUUGAAUGGUGGAUGGAUUCAGGUUCCACCCACCAUGUAUGUACCAACAAAGAGUUGUUUUCGUCAUUCGCUCCAGAUCAAGUAGAAGAAAUGAUCUACAUGGCUAACUCCGCUAUUGCUAAGGUAGAAGGAGCAGGAGAAAUAUGUUAGAAAAUGACUUCAAGAAAGGUCUUAACACUUAACAAUGUCUUUUAUGUUCCGGAGUUACGUAGGAAUUUAAUUUCUGUUUCACUUCUAGACAAGAACGGAUUCAAAUGUGUAACCAUUUCUGAAAAAAUUGUAAUUAGCAAAGGAGAAAUGUAUGUGGAAAAAGUCUAUCUGACCGAAGGCCUUUAUAAGAUGAAUGUAAUGACUGUUGAAAUAAACAAAAGUUCAAAUUCUUAUUAUUUUCUUGAGUCUUAUGAUUUAUGGCAUGAACAUUUUGCCCAUGUUAAUUAUAAAAUGUUACGAAAAUUGAUUAACUUAGAAGUUUUACCAAACUUUGAGUGCACUAAAUCAAAGUGUCAAAUGUGUGUGGAAUCGAAGUAUGCACGGUAUCCUUAUAAGUCCGUUAAAAGGAAUUCCAAUCCCUUAGACUUAAUACAUACUGACAUUUGUGAUAUGAAGUCAACACCAUCACGUGGUGGGAAAAAGUAUUUCAUAACUUUUAUUGACGAUUACACGAGAUAUUGUUAUGUCUAUCUGCUAAAUAGUAAGGAUGAAGCAAUAGAUGCGUUUAGGCAAUAUAAAACUGAAGUUGAAAAUCAAUUAGACAAAAAGAUCAAAAUCAUAAAAAGUGAUAGGGGCGAAGAAUAUGAAUCUCCCUUUGCGUAAAUAUGUGUAGAGAAUGAAAUCAUCCAUCAAACUAUGGCCCCAUAUUCACCUCAAUCUAAUGGAAUUAUGGAAAGGAAAAACCAAACUUUGAAGGAAAUCAUGAAUGCCUUCCUUAUAAGUUCUGGAUUACCGCAAAACUUGUGGGGGGAGGAUAUCCUUACGUCUAACCGUAUACUCAAUAGAGUUCCCCAUAGUAAGAUACAAUCAAUUCCUUAUGAAAAGUGGAAAAUAAGAAAACCCAACUUGAAAUAUUUCAAAGUGUGGGGGUGUCUAGCAAAGGUCCAAGUUCCUGUGCCUAAAAGGGUUAAGAUAGGACCGAAGACGGUGGACUAUGUGUUCAUAGGAUAUGCUAAAAGCAGUAAGGCAUGUCGAUUUUUGGUUCAUAAAUCCAAACAUUUGGAUAUUAAUGAAAAUACGGUAAUUGAAUCAGACAAUGCUGAAUUCUUUGAAAACAUUUAUUUGUAUAAAACUAGAUAUGAACAGUCUAGUGGGGGGUCUAAACGACCUCGUGAUGAACCAAUUGAAAAUGAACAUAAUGAAUAAAAUCCAAGAUGUAAAACACGUCAAAGAACGUUUACUUCGUUUGGAGUGGAUUUUGUGACAGUUUUUUGGAAAAUGAGCCUCAAACAUUUAAGGAAGCAAUGGCAUCUUCGAAUUCAUCCUUUUGGAAAAAGGCAGUCAAUAGUGAGAUAGAUUCAAUCUUAAGCAACAAUACAUGGGAAUUGGUUGACCUUCCUCCCAGAAAUAAACCUUUAGGUUCCAAAUGGAUCUUCAAAAGAAAGAUGAAACUGGAUGGUACUAUUGAUAAAUACAAGGCAAGACUUGUAGUAGAAGGCUUCAAACAGAGAGAAGGCCUUGAUUACUUCGAUACAUACUUGCCAGUAACAAGGAUAACAUCGAUUCGAAUGUUAAUUGCCUUGGCUGCGGUAUAUGGCCUUGAGAUCCAUUAAAUGAAUGUGAAAACCGCUUUCCUAAAUGGAGAAUUGAAGGAAGAAAUAUACAUGGAACAACCUGAGGAUUUUGUGGUUCAUGGAACAACCUGAGUAUUUUGUGGUUCCAGGAAAGAAAAAUAAGGUGUGUAAUUUUAUUAAGUCAUUGUAUGGACUAAAGCAAGCACCUAAACAAUGGCAUACGAAGUUUGACCAAACUAUGUUGGCAAACAGAUUCAAAAUAAAUGAAUGUGAUAAAUGUGUUUAUAUUAAAGACAUUCCAAAUCACCAAGUCAUUAUUUGUUUAUAUGUGGAUGAUAUGUUAAUCAUCAGUAGAGACAUUUCUAACAUAAAUGCAACAAAAUGAAUGCUCGAGAGAAAGUUUGAUAUGAAAGACCUUGGAGUUGCGAAUGUGAUCUAAGGUAUAAGAAUCCAAAGAACUCCACAAAGGUUGGCAUUGUCACAGUCUCAUUAUGUCGAAAAGGUACUUGACAAAUUCAAGUAUAUGAAAUUCGGUAUUGCCAAGACUCAAUUGGAUGCGAGCUUUGCACUUCGAAAGAAUGAAGAUGAAAGUGACUUGCAAUUGGAGUAUGCAAGAGUAUUGGGAUGUUUAAUGUAUAUAACGAACUGUACACGACCAAACAUAGCAUGCGCUAUCAGUAAAUUGAGUUGGUACACGAUUAAUCCCAACAAAACUCAUUGGAUGGCAUUAAAAGAGUUUUGGGGUUUCUUAAAUACACUCAAGAUUAUGCUUUGCAUUAUAAUAAAUAUCCUGUGGUACUUGAAUGAUCUAGUGAUGCAAAUUGGAUCACCGGAUGAAACGAAGUAAAAUCCAUAAGUGGAUAUGUAUUUACUAUUGGUGGAGGAGCGGUCUCUUGAAAAUUAUCCAAACAGACUUGUAUUGCUCGCUCUACAAUGGAAUAUGAAUUUAUCGCAUUAGAUAAAGCCAGUGAAGAAGCAGAAUGACUCCACUAUUUCUUGGAAGAUAUUCCUUAUUGGCCCAAACCAGUGGAACCAGUAUGUAUACACUGUGCUAGCCAAGAGGCAAUAGGCAAGGCAGGGAGCAUGAUGUACAACGGUAAAUCUCGUCACGUACAACGGAGACAUAAUACCGUUAGAAAACUUCUCUCUAGUGGAAUUAUCACUAUUGACUAUGUAAAGUCAAAGUAUAAUAUGUCGGAUCCAUUUACAAAAGGCCUAUCUAGAGAAGGAGUGGAAAGAACAUCUAAGAGAAUGGGUUUAAGGCGUAGGAUGAGCCAGCAUGGAGGUUACUCUGCCUAGCAGACUGGAAAUUCCAAGAGCUAGGUUUAAGGAGAUCAAACAAAGUUGUGUCUGACAGGUUCAACAUUGUCAAUUACCCAACUCAUUCUCAUGAUGUAGACAAUGUUUAGUAAACAAGGAUACGACUUAAGGUGAAAAGUCUUUUAAUGCUUAUCUAAAUUUGGCAGAUUAGACCAAAUAGUUUAAUCUACAGGAUUGAAUGUUUAGAAAUCACCUAUGUGAGAGCGAAGUGGAAGCCUCUUCAAAGAGAAUGUUAGUAAAGGAUUAUUCUCCAAGCUCUCAUGAAACCGGGACGUGCUUAUUGCUGAAAAGAACAAAACCAUGAGAACCAUAAAUUGUAAAAGGCUGGUUGUGUGACAUAUAUUGUCUAGGUGUACAUUAAAGCUCGACGGUUCAAGGAUAUCAAAUCUACCGAUUGACCGAGUGCAUCCGAUGCAUGUUCACUACGGAAAGUUUAAAGGGAAACCCACUUAUCCAGAUGCAAUCAGUCUUUGCCUGAUGAUCACAUACUUGUCCGUAAAAUUUUUAUGAUAAAUAACCAUUCCCCAUUCAUGUGGGGGAUUGUUGGGUUCAUAGUAUAUGAAAGAAGUGUAAAUGGAAAAAUAGAGAAUAAAAUGGUAGAGGGGAAGAAGAUACUAAAAUGGAAAGUGUAAUCCUAAAUUAGAAAAUUUACUCUUUCUCCCACAUUGGUGGAAGAAGAGAACUUAAAAGUGUUUAUAAUCAAGAACACUUACACCACAUGGCAAGUGAGGCAAGAAAUAAUACAUGCCUCGUGCCGUCAUCGUCGUCGCUCGCUCGGCUCAGCUUUGGAUUUGGAUUUGGAUUUGGAUUUGGAUUUGGAUAUCGAUCGAUGAGAUCUAUCUUUUUGGACAAUCUUUAUUUGAAUUCUGAAGAAUGCUAAGGAAAAAUACUGUAAAAUUUUUCUGCAGUGUUUCGACAGUUGCACUAUUUCAAGUGAACUGAUGCAUUAUUUUUGAACUGGUGCUUCAGAAAUGAUACAUUAUUUUGAACUGGGGCUACAGAAGGUUGCAAUGGUUCGAAAUGAUGCUUCAAAAGGAUGUAAUCCUUCAAUAAAGUGAGGUGUUACCUUUGGAGUGAACCAUUGCCUCUUUUCAGAAGAGACAUGUUAUGGCUAUAUAAACCUGCUUUCAUCCACAGGUUUUGAUACAAAAUUUCAGAAUAAAAAAACCUCUUCUUGUCUUCAAAAAUUCUGUGUGAUCAUUCAAACUGUUGAGUGCAUUCGAUGAUUCCAAAUAUUUGAGGUACCGCUAUAUUUGGAUUGAAGGCCAUUUUAUCCUGGGAGAAAAAAUUUCAUAAAAAAAUUCAUAACCUCGGGUACAGUGAGGGGAAUUAUUUACUUAAGGAAACUCUGUGAAUUCAGAUGACUUGGCCUUAUUCAUUUCUGUUUCAUCUUGAUUUCUGAAAAUAAAAUACACUUCUAAGAAAGAUCACUUUGAUCUUGUGUUGCGCAUAUUUUUUGUACUUCAUUGAGUUCUUGUUUUAAACUUGAACUAGUUGAAGUUGUCGUUCUACAUAUACAGAUUCUGCGUACCCGUAGAAGGAAAUAACAUAUAUAUAUCAUCAUUUAGUAUAAAGAAACAAAUUAAACGUGGAUGGUUCACAUAAAUUAGAGCAUAACAAUUAAUCUUGUCUAUAAAUAGAAGAGGUUAGAAAGAAGGAUACACAAAUCAUUAAAACAAAUUAAUAUCCCUCAAGAUGAAGACCAUAUUACUCUUUCUUUUCCUUGAAAUAGUAUUCCUUCCCUUGUCAGGCUUGGCAACUCCCAACAACCAAGUAUUGAUAGAUGUACUCGAUAUUAAUGGUAAUCCCCUCAACAAAAGCAAUAGGUACUGGAUAACUCCGGCCUACACCACUAUGGACGAUGGAGGCAUACGUGUUGCUAAUCUUGGUAGUGAUCUACAACAAAUCACUAUGUGUCCUACAUCAGUAGUACAAUCUCACCUUCCUACAGACGAUGGUAUCGUAGUUUAUUUUACACCUAAGAAUCCAAAACAUCAAACGAUUGUGGAGUCCACUCCGGUAAAUAUCCAUUUCUAUUUUGAUUAUCCUUUGUGUUCUAACCUAAAUGCGUGGAAGGUUGACAAUCUUGUAUCAGAAUUUCUGCCAAUUCUACACACCAUAAGCACAGGUGCAAAGGAUGAGAGCAGUUGGUUCCAAAUUAAGCAUACAACAAAUAGAAAGUAUAAGCUAGUGUUUUGUCUCUUUGACACUUAUUGCCAAGACAUUGGCAUCGUCUCACAAAGUGGUUAUCAUCGUUUGGUUCUCUCGGACAACCCAAAGCCUUUUUGCUCAAACUGGAUGAUAGAAUUGGAAUGGCAGCAGAAGUAUGAUCUUGUCAUGUUAUGCCUAGAUCUACUCUACGUAAUGUAUAAUAAUAAU